UAACCAAUGGGCUCCCUGGUAUACUGAUCGCACGGCCCUUGCGCCGCGAUGGGUUCAUUUCAAAUUUCUGCCCUUACUUUCGAUGGGCGGUCUUGGCCCAGCCAUGACAGGUUAGGGCUCGACCCCGGAGAGGGAGCCUGAGAAACGGCUACCACAUCCAAGGAAGGCAGCAGGCGCGCAAAUUACCCAAUCCCGACCGGGGAGGUAGUGACAAUAAAUACUGAUGCAGGGCUCUUUUGGGUCUUGCAAUUGGAAUGAGUACAAUUUAAAUCCCCUCCGGCAACCGGCCCUUUCCCCCUCUGGGGAGCCGCAUGCCCUUAUGGGCGUGCAAAGAAACCCGGACUUUUACCGUGAAUAAAUUGAAUCGCUUAAAGAAGGCCUAUGCUCGAACACAGCGUGGAACAAUGAAAAUAGGACGUGUGGUUCUAUUUUGUUGGUUUCUAGGACCGCCGUAAUGAUUAAUAGGGACAGUCGGGGGUGUCCCGUAUUCAAUUGUUCAGAGGUGAAAUUCUUGGAUUUAUUGAAGACGAACUACCUCGAAAGCAUCCGCCAAGGAUGUUUUCAUUAAUCAGGAACGAAAGUUAGGGGAUCGAAGACGAUCAGAUACCGUCGUAGUCUUAACCAUUAACUAUGCCGCCUCCGGAUCGGACGGUGUUAUUUGU
rnacentral:rRNA from 1 species